GAGUUGUGAUAGUUUGUUAUGCAAUUUCCACCUGCCGGUCUUAGCUCUACCCUUCUAGCAUCACACAGAGGAAGUCUACUUCAUCUUCCACUUGACAGACCAUCAAAGUAAAGAUCCACCAUGUCUCCCUGAAGUGAUUAAUUUUCAAAGCACCCCCAGCUGAUUGAUUUUCAUUUCACUUAUUAUACGGGUCACCCUUCUUGGGGAAUCCACAUGACUCUUUUUGGCCUUCUGACAAGAUGCAGCUCAGAACAGAAAACAGUCCAUCAGGUGAGCAGAGGGAACAUAAGGGGGCUCUGUGAGAAAGACUCAGUACAUCUUAUUCUGGAAGCUGCUAUGCUGGAAAAAACAUGCUUGGGCUCCUUUCCUGCUUUCUCAUCAUCUGGAAGGUGGACGUGGGAUGACGGCAGGCAGUACAGGUCACUUUUGUUUUAUAUUCAGGGUCCAUUUGAUGGAACGUCUUGCAGCAUCUGGGAACUUCAUUUAUAAAGUCCCUCAAGCAUAUCACCUCGGUGCACCUCAACAUUAAAUGUCAACCAAAUCUGAAAGGCUCUCGGGUGCCUGAGAAAACCGGACAGCACUUGGUUGUUUCGAUUCUGUGCGUACGAAUUGCUCUUCGCCCUCCACGGUGACUCGGGAGUUCUUGUUUCACAUCAGCUGACCUUACUCCUGGGGUGUCAAGAGUGUGAAUGUAGCUGAAGAUACAGCGAAAGAUACAGCUGUAUACCUGUAUACCUGAAUACAGCUGAAGCUACAGGAGGAGGAGAUGCAGCUGCCUCUCAGAG
ensembl:lncRNA